rnacentral:rRNA from 1 species
UACGGAGGGAGCUAGCGUUGUUCGGAAAUACUGGGCGUAAAGCGCACGUAGGCGGCGCAGCAAGUCAGGGGUGAAAUCCCGGGGCUCAACCCGGAACUGCCCUUGAAACUGCAGUGCUAGAAUCUUGGAGAGGCGAGUGGAAUUCCGAGUGUAGAGGUGAAAUUCGUAGAUAUUCGGAAGAACACCAGUGGCGAAGGCGACUCGCUGGACAAGUAUUGACGCUGAGGUGCGAAAGCGUGGGGAGCAAACAGG